CUGAAGCUGAAAGUGAAAGAAACUUUUCGGCACAUUUAAGGAACCGAAUCAACUUAAAGUCCCGGAGCUUUGUUUGCAGAAGCUUUGUUUGGUCACAGAUGUGGAGACAAACCUGCAAACCUGUGCAGGUCCCAUUCAUCACUUCUUGUUUGGAUUUUUGUGGGAGUAGUGGUAAAAAUAUCUGCGCAGAUGGUGCUGCUGCUCGGCUAUGCUUCACUUCAUGCCUCCUUCAUCAGUUCUUGUGUGGAUUUUUCUGGCAGUGUCGGUAAAAAUAUCUGCGCAGAUGGUGCUACUGCUUGGCCAUACUUCACUGCAUGCAGGU